rnacentral:tRNA from 1 species
GGCCUCGUAGCUCAGUGGAUAGAGCGUCCGCCUCCUAAGCGGAAGGUCCCAGGUUCGACCCCUGGCUUGGUCG